UAAAUAUACAAACUAUGUAUAUAUAGUUUGCCUCUCGAGGCAAUUAAAUACCAAGACACUUUUGCUCCCUUUCUUAUGAUUUGCUAUGUAUUCACAACUGGUCACCAUGUAAAUAAAACUCAACAAAGCUGCACGUGUGUGUGUUUGCGCGCGCACAUGUUUGUGUGUGUGUGGUUGUAGUAAGGUUGAAACUGACAAUAGGAAAACGACACAUCAUAUAUGGAUUACGAGAGAAAGAAGAAAACUGAUGAUGAAGAAGGAAAGAAGACUAUUUUGACAAUGAGAAAUCUCUGCAAGUGAUGACGAUACUGAGUUGGAUGGAGUAGGAUGAUAUUUAAAAAAGCACAGAUUGUGGAAGUUGAUAGCAGAGAAAAGAAGAGGAAAGUAUCUUAGCGGAGUUUUCGAAAAGAAAAUACUAUGAAAAAAAAACAAACAAUAACUAGACUGUUCUCUCUCUCUCUCUCUCUCUCUUUUUUUUUUAUAUCUGAAUGAUUUUAUGGUCUGUAGCUUCGAGUUUCAAGUAAAUUAAGACAGGCAAAAAAAAAAAAAAAGCCAACAAACAAAACUUUAUAAAUCUAUCUGACUGUUCUCUCGCCUGUAGAGUAGGAAAUAUUCUAAUUGUAUUAAUUGUUAAUACACGUAGACAUAACAAUAGUAACUAGUAUUAACUGAUGUUAACUACUAACAUAUAAACAAUAAAAAUAGCAACGAAAAUUUAAAUUUAUGAUUUUACAUAAAAGUCAAUUUUCGUUAAGACGCAUAUAAUAAACAUUUGCAACCUUAUUAAAACAGACAUAAUUAUAUAAAAGAGGAGAGAGAAAAAAAAAGACGAUUGUAUAUCAGAAUGAAAAAUAAUACUGUGUUUUAUUAUUUACUGCAGCUAAGUAAUUUCUACAAUUUAUGGAAAAUAAAAACUCUUUCUCUUUAUCUCCUCUCUCUCUCUCUAAAAAAAGUGUAAACAUUGGGAGUCUAAUUCAUUAAAAACAAACACAGAAAUAAGAAAAAGAAAUUCAUAAAGUUUACCUCGUAAUUUUUAAACCAAACCCUAGACAGCAAGGAGCGAUAUAAGUAAGUCGAAUGAGAAAAAAUCUUCAAAAAGAAAAUCUGAUGAAAGAUUUAAUUUUAGGCCACAGUAGCAAACAAUAGAUUCAUUUCUCCAGAUAGCAUGACACUAGCAGCAUAGGAAAUGUUAAAAUCAAUCAAUAUAAAAUAAACAGCACUAAAUACACUAAAACAAUAAUAGUGAUGCUUUUUCGAAAGCUAUUAGUUAUCAGAGACAAGACAAAGAAUUAAUCUAAACAUAAUGCUGUAUCUUGGCAGUCAUGCAAAUUAUGAAAAAUAAAUAAAUAAAUGAAAAUACUCGCCAGCAUUUUGUUUUAUUUCUCAGAGAAGAUGAAAUAAAAGAAAACAUUCACACACACACACACAAAAAGUAAAGAGAAUAAAUGUAUGACUGAUCAAUAAAUAAAAUUAUAGAACCACGAACAGAAGAAAACCUUGCCUGGCCUACUAAUAAAGCUGUACUAAAAUCUA